GACGUAGGGCGCGAGCGUUGUCCGGAUUUAUUGGGCGUAAAGAGCUCGUAGGCGGUUUGUCGCGUCUGCCGUGAAAGUCCGGGGCUCAACUCCGGAUCUGCGGUGGGUACGGGCAGACUAGAGUGAUGUAGGGGAGACUGGAAUUCCUGGUGUAGCGGUGAAAUGCGUAGAUAUCUGGAGGAACACCGGUGGCGAAGGCGGCAUCCUGGACCAAUAUUGACGCUGAGGAGCGAAAGCUAGGGGAGCAAACGGG
rnacentral:rRNA from 1 species